rnacentral:tRNA from 1 species
UUAGCUAAAACCAAAGAAGAGGUAAAUUAUUGUUAAUAAUUUUAUUGAAUUUAUAAGAUAUACAUUCUAGUUGAA